CCGGGCGUCAGUCGCACCUCCCACUGCAGCGUAGGCAUACCCUAAGAAACAAGCUUCUCUCCAAGUCUAAUAGAAACUGAUGCGAAAAAACCCCAGCAUCAUAAAGGAGGAGAAUGGAUAGACAAUGAUUCCUUUGCAAGUCACCUCCACAUUACCAGUUCACUCUGCAAUAUCAUAGUUCUUCCAGUGCAAACCAUCUGUUACUCAGUCACUUUAGCUGACAGUAGUUCUCUUUUUGUUCCUAUUUCUAUUGCUCUUGAGACUUUUCUGUAGCCUUGACAUGAUGUGGACUAUUUACAUGUAACGGCGCCAGAUGGAUAAAUAUAUCUUUUGCAGGUGCAUUAACAAAGCUAUGCCAAGAAAUUCUGGAGCUGAGGGUAGAUUCAAGCUCCUUCCAAAAUACUCAAAAGCCUGAAGCAUAAAUGGCUCAGCCUCACAUGGCAGAUUUUACCUCAUUACAAGCAAAUCCCAAACCUGAAUUGAACGGAGGACUUUAAACAAUAGAAAUAGCUUUAUCAAAUGUCGGCUAGUUGGUGUUUGCUAAUGAAACAUGCUAUUCUCAGUGUUGUUUUCAGGAACAUAAAUUGGCAUAUUGUGGCAGAACACACACACAAAAACCUAGCUAAAAGUUUUCAUCUUUGAAUUUGCUUACAGAAAAGUUUGGAAAGCCUGCCAUUCUAUAUCACACAGUUCGCCACAGUGGGUGCAGAGCAGAAUCAGCGAUCCAAGUCCUUGAAGCAGCAGUUCGGUUUGAGCUGUUGCAAGCUCCACCCAACCUCCCAGACCUUCUGGGUUGUACAGGAGCUACCUAGAGCACUAAGUCACCUCAGUUCUACCCCUUCCAAGGAACCCAAAGUCCAAGACAACUAUGAAGAAACAAACUCUCCCAUUUCCUUGGCGAGAACUGAUCAGCAACAACCCGUGCUAGCCAGCCUUCUUUGCCACAUCUACCUUCCCUGCCUGCCUCUCCCCAGCUGAGCAGAAUUUCUCCCUGGAAACCUGAGUCCUGCCCCAGAUGUUGCAGGUCUGGCUGAUUGGGCCUCUGGUAGCUCACUGACCCUUUCCUACGUGGAGUGGGGUUUGUAUGACCUCUCGCAGGGGCUUAUUUUUCCAUCGUACUAUUCUAUUUGCAGGGCUAGAAAGACACACCUCUCCUGAUUUUUAGUGAGAAUCUUGCGAUAAUUACUAUUUUUCUUAAAAACCCCAGCUCCUGGAGAUGGAGAAUUGCAUGGGAUUAUGUUUUCUUUCAUUUUAAAAGACACAGUACACUUUUCGCUCUUGUGAUGGAGGAGAAGAGCUUGAAACCGUGAGACUCAAAGGCUCACAAAAUGGAAAGCAAAUAAAGAAAACCCCAAAUGUUUAUUUGCUAAAAAUAAAAAAGUUAUUUAGUUUUUGGGGACUGGCUCAUGAUAUCUGAAUGUUUGGAGGAGCAAUGCUGAGACAGGUAGCUCAAUAUUUUCAUACUUUGGGUCAAAAAUUUCAAAUGCCACUGGUGAUUUUGGGUGCCUCCAUUUUGGGUGUCCAAUUUGAGACACCUGAAAUCAGGCCCCUUUCAGAUGGCUUCAGGUUGGGCCCGCAAGCCAGAGGCACCCAAAAUCACCAGGUACAUUUGAAAAUCUUGGCCUCAGUGUCUAAAGUUAGGCACCUAUGUGACUUGACUUUGAGCUUCUGAGCACGUGCAGUUUCCAUGUAAGUCAAUGAGAUCUGCAGAUGCGCCGCACCUCUAGGAAUCGGCCACUUCCUCUGGCAGCCAUGUUUGAAAACGCCACCUUUCAUUACUACAGGAUAACUGCGGGAAUGCUGUCGGAGUGCAGCACAAAACGCUAAGAUGCUGUUCCUCUCUCCGCUCAAAGUCAGUGGCUGGCAGGAAGGAGAGCGUGCGACAGAGUGCAACCGCCCUCACUUGGGAGUUGGUCAGGAAGCGGGGGGAAUGCUGGUAGCUUAUGGUCAUUUUUCUCAAACCAGUAGAAAUGUUUUAAGUGCACCCAUGAUUUAAUGAUCCAGUGAGGAAAGGAAUGUCAAGAUAGAGGGUAAAAUAAAAUUUUCAGAAGUGCUCAAGUGACUUCUCUGAUUUUCAGGAGUGACUUGGGCAUCUAAGACCCUAAGUCUCUUUAAAGACAAUGGGACUUGGGCAUUGUUGAGAAUUUUACCCAGAGAUCAACAGGGGGAUACAAAAGCAAGGGUCAGGACCUACACUGAGCAACACCACUGAAAGCCAUUUCCCAGUGCCAACGUUACAAGGGCCACCACAUGAGGACCUGUUUAAAGAGCAAUCUUUGGGGCUAUUAAGCUGUAGGAAGAUGAGAAACCCCCAUGGGUCUUUCAUCAUUUUUUCUUUUAAACAGGCAGUGAGUUCGACUUGAACACAUAAGCACAAUGAGGUUUCAAACCUGGGGAAAGGGUAACACAGCUUGUUCGGACAUUUCUGUUUCCUGUAAGACACUUUUAAUAAAGCAUUCAUUUUAGAUUGACGCAGAGAUGGGCUUGGAUCUAGAUCCAAAUUCCCCCACAGUUCAGGGCUGUUUGGCUCUGCAUUUGGGGGUCUGGCCCAUUUCUGUUUUUCAUAUGUUAGAGGAUUAUCUCUGUCCACAUCCAGCAACACUCUUCCCCCCCGUCCCCUCUCCCGGCUUCCCCAGUAGCAUUCUGGCUUCUCCUUUUGUGACUCUGCUAGAAACAUGGGAGCUCUCUUCCCCUUGCUCUCUGGAGAGGUACAUUUUACCUCUUUCAGAGUUUUCCCUUUUCCCCUGCACUUCACCUCUGGUUCGGUUCUACAAGCCAACGACCAGGGCGGAGGAUGGCAUGUGAUGGCAACUAGCAGCGGGAUACGUGAGUGGCCUGAGCUCAGUUGGGUUUGAGGGUGAGAGAGAAAGAAUGAGGUGAGCUUGCAGGAAGGACUGGAGCAUGGGGAGGGGGGAAGGUGCUGGAACA